AGUGAACGCUGGCGGUAGGCCUAACACAUGCAAGUCGAACGGCAGCACAGUUAUUGCUUGCUCUUACGGGUGGCGAGUGGCGUACGUGUGAUGAUUACAUCGGAAUCUACUUUUUCUUUUGGGAUAACGUAGGGAAACUUACGCUAAUACCGCAUACGUCCUACGGGUGUAAGCUGUGGAUCUUCUGACCUUGCGCGUUUUAUUGAGCCGAUGUCGGAUUUGCUAGUUGGCGGGGUAAAGGCCCACCAAGGCGACGAUCCGAAGCUGGUCUGAGAGGAUGAUCAGCAAAACGGGAAGUGAGAAACGGUACAGAGUACUACGGGAGGCAGAAGUGGGGAAUAUGGGACAAUGGGGGGAAGCAUGAAACAGAAAUACCGCGUGGGAGAAGAAGGACUACGGGUUGUAAAGCCAGUUUGUUGGGAAAGAAAAGAAGGAGGAAAAAACCAAGCUGUUGUGACGGUACCAAAAGAAUAAGCACCGGCUAACUACGUG
rnacentral:rRNA from 1 species